rnacentral:tRNA from 1 species
GUCGGAGUGGCGAACGUGGCAGACGCACCAGCUUAAGGGGCUGGCGCUCGUAAGGGCGUGUGGGUUCAAGUCCCACCUUCGACA